rnacentral:rRNA from 1 species
AGUGAACGCUGGCGGUAGGCCUAACACAUGCAAGUCGAACGGCAGCACAGUAAGAGCUUGCUCUUACGGGUGGCGAGUGGCGGACGGGUGAGGAAUACAUCGGAAUCUACUUUUUCGUGGGGGAUAACGUAGGGAAACUUACGCUAAUACCGCAUACGACCUACGGGUGAAAGCAGGGGAUCUUCGGACCUUGCGCGAUUGAAUGAGCCGAUGUCGGAUUAGCUAGUUGGCGGGGUAGAGGCCCACCAAGGCGACGAUCCGUAGCUGGUCUGAGAGGAUGAUCAGCCACACUGGAACUGAGACACGGUCCAGACUCCUACGGGAGGCAGCAGUGGGGAAUAUUGGACAAUGGGCGCAAGCCUGAUCCAGCCAUACCGCGUGGGUGAAGAAGGCCUUCGGGUUGUAAAGCCCUUUUGUUGGGAAAGAAAAGCAGCAGGUUAAUACCCCGCUGUUCUGACGGUACCCAAAGAAUAAGUACCGGCUAACUUCGUG